GUGGGGAAUUUUGCGCAAUGGGGGAAACCCUGACGCAGCAACGCCGCGUGAAGGAUGAAGGCCUUUGGGUCGUAAACUUCUGUCAGAGGGGAAGAAAUACUCGCAAGAGUGCUGACGGUACCCUCAAAGGAAG
rnacentral:rRNA from 1 species